UCUGCCUCUAGAGGUGUUGCAGGUGUGGCUGCUGUGUCACAUGUAUGCCAAUAGGUGGCAGAGAGGAGAAUGGCUAUCCCCAUGCUCAAUGCUCUGCCCUGGCCUAUGAACAUCUGAAUGAUUAGUAGUCUAACAGU